GGGAAACACUUGAAUAGCGAAUAGGCAUAUUUGAAGCUGAUUAGUUGGCAGAUUACAGGAGUCUCCCAAAAGAAGUGUGAUGCAUAGAGGCAGCCACAAAUGCAUUCAGUGGCCAGGAUAAGAUAGAAAAACAGUUGGCUUGGAUUUUCUGAUGGUUAUGUUUCAGAAUUGAUAACCCGACUUGGCUGGACAAGUGGCUCAGUCGCAACUUUUGCCUUUCUAAUUUUGAUUUUUUUU
rnacentral:misc_RNA from 1 species